CCUACGGGAGGCAGCAGUGGGGAAUAUUGCACAAUGGGCGCAAGCCUGAUGCAGCACGCCGCGUGAGUGAUGAAGGUUCUUCGGAUUGUAAAGCUCUGUCUUUGGGGACGAUAAUGACGGUACCCAAGGAGGAAGCCACGGCUAACUACGUGCCAGCAGCCGCGGUAA
rnacentral:rRNA from 1 species